CAGUCGCCACGGUAAUACGAAGGGUGCAAGCGUUACUCGGAAUUACUGGGCGUAAAGCGUGCGUAGGUGGUGGUUUAAGUCCGUUGUGAAAGCCCUGGGCUCAACCUGGGAAUUGCAGUGGAUACUGGGUCACUAGAGUGUGGUAGAGGAUAGUGGAAUUUCCGGUGUAGCAGUGAAAUGCGUAGAGAUCGGAAGGAACAUCUGUGGCGAAGGCGACUAUCUGGGCCAACACUGACACUGAGGCACGAAAGCGUGGGGAGCAAACAGGAUUAGAUACCCGGGUAGUCCCUGUCUCUUACAC
rnacentral:rRNA from 1 species